CCUUGGCCAAGUCACUUCACCCCUUUGUUACCCUCCGUAAAGUGAGGGUAAUGCAGGCAUCUACUGUACAUGUUGUGGGUAAUAUUCAGACCUCUUUCAAAUAAAAUGGGCUCCAUUUUAAAUAAGGUUUUGUCAUCACAGGCAUCAGGACCACAUCUUUCUGCACAGCACGGGAAAGAAACCAGUAUGUCAAGAGGCUGAGAGCUACAGAGUCUGAGCUGGUUCCACAGAGGUUUCCAGCUGCUCAGAUCCAUAGCUGCAGGAUUCUGCAGAGUUUGAAUAAAAAGUCAGCAUGGGGAGAAGUGGAAGGGCAUUGAGCUGGUUGAUAAAGACAGGGCUUGGUAGUGAUGUUGCUUUUAAAAUUCUUGGCACACAUUUGCAACUCUUAAAUAAAAAACAAGUUGCUCAGUUGUCAUAAUGGGGAUUUUGACUAAAAAUGAUGAUUUAAAGGAUUCCUGUGUCAACUCCUAGGACAUCGAUUGGCUGACUGGUUUGCCUCUUCCUCCUGGCUCUCUCUUUCUGCCUUUCUCUCUCCUUAUAUGGAAUUUCUAUCCGUGUUUACCAUCCUUUUUUCUAGGUGGGGCUGGUUGGGGAGGAUGUGGAAGUUCUGGAAGCAGGGGAUUAGGAGCAAUGGCUUGGGAAUCAGGCAGAUCCACCUCAGGUCUGCUGCUGUUGAGCCUAAAGUUUUCACCUGCAAAGUCAGGGUAAUGACAGUAUCCAUAUCUCAUCGGAUUGCUGAGAAGACUAAAUGAGGCAAUGCUCGCGCGGUGUUUAGCCUUGUGUCUGGCAUGCAUUAAGCACAUAAUGAGUGAUGUUUAUCAUGAGACAAGUGCCUGGUGGGAGCAGGUACUACUCGCAGUUAAUUAAUGAAUCAAACACAGCCCCUGGUCCCUUAGGAAAUGAAGCAGGUGAUGUUUAAUUAUCCUGCUUGGAAGAGAACAAGAUACUCGCAGGGGGCGGGGACCAGCUUUCCCCAUUAGUUAAGAGAAAGGAGGACUAGCCUGGUUUGCUAUAAGAAAACUCUCUAUGGUCAAAGUGACAUGACCAGCCUGGAGAAACUCAGCAGGGGCCCUUGCCUGGGGCCCAGCAGGGGAGGCAACAGGCUGGACAUUUGGAGCAUGUCUGUGUGGUGUGAGCACUCACUCUCUUGCCCAGGGGCAAGUUGCUCACCCAUCUGUGCUCAGCCCAUCUGUAAAAGGGAAAUGGACUCCUAGCACUUUACUCUUCUGUCUGUCCUCAGUAUUCUCAUGUCUAGAAUGGGGGUGAAGCAAGGUUAUGGUUACUACCAUGAUGUUUUUUAUAGAGAACUUAAAGGUCGAUCAUAAUGAAAGCACACAUCUAAGGCCAGACGUGGUGGCUCAUGCCUGUAAUCCCAACAGGCAUGUAAUCCCAACUUUGGGAGGCCGAGGCGGGCAGAUCACUUGAGGUCAGGAGUUCAAGACCAGCCUGGCCAACGUGGCAAAACCCCGUCUGUACUAAAAAUACAAAAAAGUAACCCAGGUGUCGUGAUGCACGCCUGUAAUCCCAGCUAUUCAGGAGGCUGAGGCAGGAGAAUCACUUGAACCCACGAAGUGGAGGUUGCAGUGAGCUGAGAUCAUGCCACUGCACUCCAGCCCGGGUGACAGAGUGAUAUGUCUCAAAAAAAAAAAAAAAAA
rnacentral:lncRNA from 1 species